UACCUCAGUAACCAUUCUACAUGCUAAUAACAUAUCAGGUGUCAUACCUCAGAAACCAUUCUACAUGCUAAUAACAUAUCAGGUGUCAUACCUCAGAAACCAUUCUACAUGCUAAUAACAUAUCAGGUGUCAUACCUCAGUAACCAUUCUACAUGCUGACAACAUAUCAGGUGUCAUACCUCAGUAACCAUUCUACAUGCUUAUAACAUAUCAAGUGUCAUACCUCAGUAACCAUUCAACUGAUAACAUAUCAGGUGUCAUACCUCAGUAACCAUUCUACAUGCUAAUAACAUAUCAGGUGUCAUACCUCAGUAACCAUUCUACAUGCUAAUAACAUAUCAGGUGUCAUACCUCAGUAACCAUUCUACAUGCUGAUAACAUAUCAGGUGUCAUAC